rnacentral:rRNA from 1 species
CCCCGCCUGGGGAGUACGGGUGAGGUAACGGCUCACCAAGGCAUCGACGGGUAGCUGGUCUGAGAGGAUGAUCAGCCACACUGGGACUGAGACACGGCCCAGACUCCUACGGGAGGCAGCAGCAGGGAAUAUUGCGCAAUGAGCGAAAGCUUGACGCAGCGACACCGCGUGUGGGAUGACGGAUCUAGGUUUGUAAACCACUUUCAGGAGGGAAGAAAAUGACGGUACCUCCACAAGAAGCCCCGGCCAACUACGUGCCAGCAGCCGCGGUAAUACGUAGGGGGCGAGCGUUGUCCGGAUUUAUUGGGCGUAAAGAGCUCGUAGGCGGUUCAACAAGUCGGUCGUAAAAGUUCAGGGCUCAACCCCGAAAUGUCGAUCGAUACUGUUGUGACUAGGAUACGGUAGAGGUGAGUGGAAUUCCGAGUGUAGCGGUGAAAUGCGUAGAUAUUCGGAGGAACACCAAUUGCGAAGGCAGCUCACUGGGCCGCUAUCGACGCUGAGGAGCGAAAGCUAGGGGAGCAAACAGGAUUAGAUACCCUGGUAGUCCUAGCUGUAAACGAUGGAUACUAGACGUAGGAACUGGAUUGACGGUUUCUGUGUCGCAGCUAACGCGUUAAGUAUCCCGCCUGGGGAGUACGGAAUCUCGAC